rnacentral:lncRNA from 1 species
UUUCUCUCUUUCUCUCUGUCUCUCUCUCUCUGUCUCUCUGUCUCUCUCUCUCUCUCUCUCUCUCUCUCUCUCUCUCUCUCUAUCUCUCUCUCUCUAUCUCUCUCUCCCCCUUAUUUUUUUCACUCACUGAGCAAUGAAAACCUGCCUAAUCCAAGAUUUGGAAAGUCACAGAUAAAUUGGUUUGCACCCAUGGAUCUAAUUGUAAAUAGUUUGUAAAUAGAUGACUUUAGUUUAGCAAAAGAGAAUGUUUUCCUGGAAAACAUUCAGAAUGAUGGGGCUGAAUCUCCUGGUUUUUAUCCUGUAAUUUCUUCAUUGAUAAUUAUCGUGACCCAAUUAAUGACAUGAGUAGCAUUUUAGUUUUUACUUGCAAAUAGCCUUGUAAAUGGAGCAUCUAACCAUCCAUAGUCUUUGAACUCCCCGGAAAGCAGGUAUACUGUUUCAUCUUUUAUGUAUAUCAAGAUUCCUGCCUGUGAAAUAUACAUGUAUCCUAUUUUGUUCUUUCAACAAAAUGUUUAUUAUGGCUUUCUACAGUUAUAGUGAAACUAUGUGAAUAGUGUGUCUACCCAGUCUGUGUGGCUUUCUCGGGGUAUUUCUGGGUCUGUCUGUGUUUCUCUGUUAUGUCAUGAAACAGGAGAGUUUCGUGACUGCAGUACUGAAACGCUGCUAUCUAAGUUCCUUUACAUGUUCCUCAGAAUAGUGUAAUAAGAUAAUUUUCUUUUGUUUUUGUACUUAGAAAUUUUAUUUCUGCAUUGACAUGAGUGAAGUUUACACUACUUUCGUAAUAUUUACAGGUAGCUAUAAAGUCUCUCUCUCUCUCUCUCUCUCUCUCUCUCUCUCUCUCUCCACUCAACAAGCAACUAAAAGCUGCCUACUCCAAGAUUUGGAAAGGCAGAGCUGAAUCUAGUUUCGUGACUGCAGUACUGAAACGCUGCCAUCUAAGUUCCUUUACAUGUUCCUCAGAAUAGUGUAAUAAGAUAAUUUUCUUUUGUUUUUGUACUUAGAAAUUUUAUUUCUGCAUUGACAUGAGUGAAGUUUACACUACUUUCGUAAUAUUUACAGGUAGCUAUAAAGUCUCUCUCUCUCUCUCUCUCUCUCUCUCUCUCUCUCUCUCUCUCUCCACUCAACAAGCAACUAAAAGCUGCCUACUCCAAGAUUUGGAAAGGCAGAGCUGAAUCUGUUUGCUCCCACGUAUCAAACUGUAAAUAGUUUGUAAUUAGAUGACUUUAGUUAUGCAAAUAGAAUGUUUUCAUGGAAAACAUUCAGAAUGACGGGGCUGAAUCUCCUGGAUUAUAUCCUGUAGUUUCUUCAUUGAUAAUUAUCCUGAGCCUAGUAAUGGCAUGAGUAGCAUUUUGGGAAUUAUUUGUAAAUAGCCUUGUAAAUAUAGUAUCUAAACAUCCAUAGUCUUUGCAGUCCCCUAGAAAGCAGAUAUGCUGUUUCCUCUUUUAUAAAUGUAAACAUUUCAAUCUUUGACAUAUACAUCUAUCCUAUACUGUUCUUUCAACAAAAUGUUUAUUAUGACUUUCUAUGGUUUAUUGAAACUAUAUAAAUUGUGUGUCUACCCAGUAUGUUUUGGUAUCUCGGGGUAACUCUGGGCUUGUGUGUGUUUCUCUGUUAUGUCAUGAAACAGAAGGGAUUCAUGACUGCAGUACUGAAACGCUGCUAUAUAUGUCCCAUUGCCUUUUCCUCAGAAUACUGUAGUAAGAUAUUUUUUUUUGUUUCUUUAUUUAGAAAAUUCAUUUCUGCGUUCAAAGGAGUGAUGUUUCUACUAAUCUCGUAAUUUUGUCUUAGUAGUUAUAAAGUCUCUGUUUCUUCACUGACUGAGCAAGUAAAAGCUGCCUAUUCCAAGUUUUGGAAAGGCACAGAAGAAUCAGUUUGCACCCACGUAUCAAACUGUAAAUAGUUUGUAAUUAGAUGACUUUAGUUAAGCCAAAGAGAAUUUUUUCUUGGAAAACAAUCAGAAUGACGGGGUGGAAUCUCCUGGAUUAUAUCCCGUAAUUUCUUCAUUGAUAAUUAUCCUGACCCAAAUAAUGGCCUGAGUAGCAUUUUAGGAAUGACUUGUAAAUAGAUCCUCUUAUCGUCCAUAGCCUUUGUAGACCUCUAGAAAGCAGGCAUACUAUUUCAUCUUUUAUAAAUGUAAAUAUUCCCUUCUGUGACAUAUUCAUGUAACCUAUGUUGGUCUUUCAAAAAUAUUUAUUAUGGCCUUCUUUGAUUAUAGUGUAACUAUAUACAUAGAGUGGCAAACCAGUCCUUUUGCCACAAAAGAGGAGAUUUACAGAUAGAUCGAGGUAGCUGAGCAUGCUGAGUAAGCUCCAUCCUGUCCCCUGUACCUGUAGCUUUUAGUGAAAUCCUCAUUGGUAGUUGUUUUACAAUUUUUUCUUCUUUGGUUCUUGUACUUGUUGUUUUAUUUUUAACAGAUUUUUUCCUUAUUACUUACAAAAGCUUCCAGUGGUAGCUAUAUUUGUUUCUCUUUUCUAUACUUUUUCUUGAUAAAAUCCUUAUAGACACGUUAACAUGAUUUG